rnacentral:rRNA from 1 species
UACGAAGGGGGCUAGCGUUGCUCGGAAUCACUGGGCGUAAAGCGCACGUAGGCGGAUCCUUAAGUCGGGGGUGAAAUCCUGGAGCUCAACUCCAGAACUGCCUUUGAUACUGAGGAUCUUGAGUUCGGGAGAGGUGAGUGGAACUGCGAGUGUAGAGGUGAAAUUCGUAGAUAUUCGCAAGAACGCCAGUGGCGAAGGCGGCUCACUGGCCCGAUACUGACGCUGAGGCACGAAAGCGUGGGGAGCAAACAGG